UUUCAUUCCAAAACUUAGUUUUUUUCAGCAAUUACCCACCAGUUAUCACGGUCGUAGCCAUGUUCCAAUAUUGAGCCGCCUGCGGUCUCUACUAACUCAUUUAAUUCACCCUUGCGAAAUAAAUGGUAGUAACGUUGAUACGCAAUAUUUUCAGCAGGAUCGUGCCCCUUUAAUUCCUCCGGCUUUGCAUUUGGAUACUCAUAUUGCCUUUUUAAUAUCCAAGGAACAUAAACGUCCUGCGGUCCGUCUUCUGAAAAACCACGCCUUGAAUUCUUUUGUUCUAAAGCCCAAACAAAAAAUAGUGCUUUCCCUCCUUUUACUAAUGGUCUUAAAACUUCCUGAACAGCUUGCAACCUUCGGUUUUCAUUGCUGAAAUGAUGGAUUACAGCUAUGCUUAAGGCAAAAUCAAACCGAUUGCUUGGAUGAGGUACGUGCAGGCCAUCAGAAAUAACCAUAGGACCUAGAUUGCUUGCUAUUUUAACAAGUUUUACGCAACGAUCGCUUCCUAUCAUGUAAACAUUUGGGUUAACCUUUUGGUAUUUGCCAUUUCCGCACCCAAUGUCUACUCCUACAGAGCCCAAAGGCAAAGAUUUUAAAAAUUUUUCAACCACUGGCCAUGGCUACAAAAUGACUGAUUAGCUUUAAUUAAAUAUCGUUGUAUUAACUUACCUUGUAUCGAGUAUCUGAGAAAUGUGUUGCAAUCUUAUCAUAUACUUGAUGAACAUAUUCAUUUUCGUACUCUAUUUCCAUUUUAAUAUAAAUAAGUAAAAAUUUGUAGCCUUUGAAGCCGAUUAAAAUACGUCUCGAAGGUUGGGUAAGGUUAGCAAAUGGUAAAACUAAAACGAUGGGUUAUAGGGAUGUU